rnacentral:rRNA from 1 species
AUUGAACGCUGGCGGCAUGCUUUACACAUGCAAGUCGAGCGGCAGCGCGGGGGCAACCCUGGCGGCGAGCGGCGAACGGGUGAGUAAUGCAUCGGAACGUACCCUGGAGUGGGGGAUAACGCCGCGAAAGCGGCGCUAAUACCGCAUAUGCUCUGAGGAGGAAAGUGGGGGACCUGCAAGGGCCUCACGCUCUGGGAGCGGCCGAUGUCCGAUUAGCUAGUUGGUGGGGUAAAGGCUUACCAAGGCGACGAUCGGUAGCUGGUCUGAGAGGAUGAUCAGCCACACUGGGACUGAGACACGGCCCAGACUCCUACGGGAGGCAGCAGUGGGGAAUUUUGGACAAUGGGGGCAACCCUGAUCCAGCCAUGCCGCGUGAGUGAAGAAGGCCUCGGUUGUAAGACUCUUUGGUUCGGGUAAGGAAAUACGCAUGGUUAAGUACCUCGUGUGGAGUGACGGUACCGGAAGUAAGAAG